rnacentral:rRNA from 1 species
UACGGAGGAUGCGAGCGUUAUCCGGAUUUAUUGGGUUUAAAGGGUGCGCAGGCGGCACGGCAAGCCGGCGGUCAAAUCGCGGGGCUCAACCCCGCCCAGCCGUCGGAACUGCCGGGCUAGAGUGGGCGAGAAGUGCGCGGAAUACGUGGUGUAGCGGUGAAAUGCAUAGAUAUCACGCAGAACUCCGAUUGCGAAGGCAGCGCACCGGCGCCCUACUGACGCUCAGGCACGAAAGCGUGGGUAUCGAACAGG